GUGGGGAAUAUUGGGCAAUGGGCGCAAGCCUGACCCAGCAACGCCGCGUGAGGGAAGAAGGCCUUCGGGUUGUAAACCUCUGUCCUUGGUGACGAAGGAAGUGACGGUAGCCAAGGAGGAAGCCCCGGCUAACUACGUGCCAGCAGCCGCGGUAAUACGUAGGGGGCGAGCGUUGUCCGGAAUUACUGGGCGUAAAGGGUGCGUAGGUGGCCUUUUAAGUUGGAUGUGAAAUACCCGGGCUUAACCUGGGGGGUGCAUCUAAUACUGGGAGGCUAGAGUGCAGGAGAGGGAAGCGGAAUUCCUAGUGUAGCGGUGAAAUGCGUAGAUAUUAGGAGGAACACCAGUGGCGAAGGCGGCUUUCUGGACGAAAACUGACGCUGAGGCGCGAAAGCCAGGGGAGCGAACGGGAUUAGAUACCCUUGUAGUCC
rnacentral:rRNA from 1 species